rnacentral:rRNA from 1 species
AUUGAACGCUGGCGGCAGGCUUAACACAUGCAAGUCGAGCGAGCGGCGGACGGGUGAGUAAUGUCUGUGACCCUGCCUGAUGGAGGGGGAUAACUACUGGAAACGGUAGCUAAUACCGCAUACCAUCGGAUGUGCCCCGAUGGGAGUAGCUAGUAGGUGGGGUAAUGGCUCCCCUAGGCGACGAUCCCUAGCUGGUCUGAGCGGAUGACCGGCUGCACUGGAACUGAGGGACGGGCAUGAGGCCGACGGGAGUAAGCAGUGGAGAAUAUGGCGCAAUGGGCGCAAGCGUGAUGCAGUCAUGCAGCGUGUGUGCGGAAGGCCUGCGGGUUGUAAGGUAGUUUCAGCGAGGAGGGGGUACGCGCAGAAGAAGCACCGGCUAACUCCGUGCCAGCAGCCGCGGUAAUUC